GCAAGGAGAGUGGAAUAAGGAGAAGGAGAGAGAGAGAGAGGAGAGAGAGAGAGAGAGAGAGAGAGAGAGAGAAAAGGAGAAACUUUCGCGUCAACGGAAUUUGAGUUUUCCGUUGGAAUCGUAAAUCCCGGAUCUACUUAGACGAGGGCGCGAGACGCGCGUCGUUUAAACUUGGCACGAGGCAUCAUAAGCGACGACGAAUACCACCGAACACGUUGGAGAUGAUUUCGUUCAGAGCAUUCGCCUGGAUUGACCACUACGAUGAUCGCUUCGAUCGCGAUCGAACUAAGAACACGACGUUCAUUCGGAUGGAAACGAUAACAAGGAGGAAACGCGGAAGAAGCACUAACGUAAGAACGGACGGACGAGAAAUCUACCGAGAGAUCUAUCGGAGAUCUACCGAGAGAUCGAGGGACGGAUGGGUCGUCGACUAGUCACCACCCACAACUCGCCAGUGACUGAUUCCACCAUAGCCGUAUAAUGUGCCGCCGUGUGGUAUACCCCGGUAAGGACUAUCACUUCUCCCACCAGAGAGCGGAACAGCCACCGUAUAAAGCACGACUUUUAACCGGGAUGCCUUCGUCCCUCCUGGUGGUAGCAACGGAACGAACGCGCCUUCUCUCUCCGUAACGAUGACCCCUCCUCGCACGCUUCUUUUCUUUUACGUAUUCCCCCAACUACCUUUUCUUUUCCUCCUACCCGACACGAUCCUACGAAAUUAUCGGCUCUACGUUUAUAGCGCUUUAACGUUCCAACGAAUCUAUCGACUACCGCGCGUUCUUCUUCUUCUUUCGCCUAGUCUUUCUCUUGGUACAAGAUCUUUUUUCCUAUAUCCAUAUCGAAUAAAAACAAAAAUAUCAAUAUCACAACGUCCGAUCGUUUCUUGGUACGAAGGUCAGUCGAGUUUACCAGAUCGAAAUGAUUUGGCUCGAUGUGGAAAAAUAUUUUCAAGAAAAAGGCCUGCUGCCGCUAAGGUAAAAGUCUACGACGAUUACGAUAACGAAACGUUUCUUGCACGAUGUCGCAAUAAAACACCGACGGUAUAAAGAAAUAUUACCAAGAGGCGCUAACAUUGUCCGACGACGAAUUACUUGCUGCGUAGCAAACAUCCUUAUAUUAGUUGUUUGAUCUUCGUGGAAUCUUACAAAAAAUAAUUAAUAAUUAUUUUUCGCUAUAUUAUUCUAAAACUUUA